UUAAGGUUUAAUCUGCUCAAUGAUUAUUUAAAUUGCCGCAGUAUUUUGACUGUGCAAAGGUAGCAUAAUAAUUAGUUUCUUUAUUGGGAACUGGAAUGAAUGAUUGGACGAGAAAAUUUCUGUCUCUUUAUUAUUUUAAUUGAAUUUUACUUUUAAGUUAAAAGGCUUAAAUUUUAUUAGAGGACGAGAAGACCCUAUAGAGUUUAAUUUUUAUUUAAAUAAUUAUUUUUAGUAUUUAUAUAUAUUAUUUAAAUAAAAAUUUAGUUGGGGUGACUAAAAGAUAAGAAUAACUCUUUUAAUUUUUAUCAAUUAUUUUUGAUUAUAAAAUCUUUAUUUUUAAUUUUAAAAUAAAUUACCUUAGGGAUAACAGCGUAAUUCUUUUUUAAAGUUCUUAUUAAAAGAAGAGUUUGCGACCUCGAUGUUGGAUUAAAAUUAAUUUUAGGUGUAGAAGCUUGAAAAUUAAGUCUGUUCGACUUUUAAAAUUUUACAUGAUCUGAGUUUAAACCGGUGUGAGCCAGGUUGGUUUCUAU
rnacentral:rRNA from 1 species